rnacentral:rRNA from 1 species
AUACCGGCCAGAGACCGAUAGCGCACAAGUAGAGUGAUCGAAAGAUGAAAAGCACUUUGAAAAGAGGGUUAAAUAGUACGUGAAAUUGUUGAAAGGGAAGGAUUUAUGACCAGACCUUUGCCUUGCGGAUCAUCCGGUGUUCUCGCCGGUGCACUUCGCUUGGUUGAGGCCAGCAUCAGUUUUGGCGGCGGGAUAAAGACUUCAGGAACGUGACUCCCCCGGGAGUGUUAUAGCCUGCUGUGUAAUACCGCCGCUGGGACUGAGGACCGCGCUUCGGCUAGGAUGCUGGCAUAAUGGUCAUCAAUCACCCGUCUUGAAACACGGACC